rnacentral:rRNA from 1 species
AUUGAACGCUGGCGGCAGGCCUAACACAUGCAAGUCGAGCGGUUGAGGUAGCUUGCUACCGAUGCAGCGGCGAACGGGUGAGUAAUACAUGGGAAUCUGCCUGGUAGUGGGGGACAACGUUUCGAAAGGAACGCUAAUACCGCAUACGCCCUACGGGGGAAAGGGGGGGAUCUUCGGACCUCUCGCUAUCAGAUUAGCCCAUGUCAGAUUAGCUCGUUGGUGAGGUAAAGGCACACCAAGGCGACGAUCUGUAAAUGGUCUGAGAGGAUGAUCAGUCACACUGGAACUGAGACACGGUCCAGACUCCUACGGGAGGCAGCAGUGGGGAAUAUUGGACAAUGGGGGCAACCCUGAUCCAGCCAUGCCGCGUGUGUGAAGAAGGCCUUAGGGUUGUAAAGCACCUUCAGUGGGGAGAAAGGUGAUUCACCUAAUACGUGAGUCAAUUGAUGCUACCCACAGAAGAAGCACCGGCUAACUCCGUGCCAGCCGCCGCCGUAAUAC